rnacentral:rRNA from 1 species
UACGUAGGGGGCGAGCGUUGUCCGGAUUCAUUGGGCGUAAAGGGUGCGUAGGCGGCGCGGUAAGUCGGAUGUGAAAUCUCGGGGCUUAACUCCGAAACUGCAUUCGAUACUGCCGUGCUUGAGGACUGGAGAGGAGACUGGAAUUUACGGUGUAGCGGUGAAAUGCGUAGAUAUCGUAAGGAAGACCAGUGGCGAAGGCGGGUCUCUGGACAGUUCCUGACGCUGAGACGCGAAAGCGUGGGGAGCGAACCGG